rnacentral:rRNA from 1 species
UACGGGGGGAGCAAGCGUUGUUCGGAUUUACUGGGCGUAAAGGGCGCGUAGGCGGUCAGCACAAGUCAGUUGUGAAAUCUCCGGGCUUAACUCGGAAAGGUCAACUGAUACUGUGCGACUAGAGUGCAGAAGGGGCAACUGGAAUUCUCGGUGUAGCGGUGAAAUGCGUAGAUAUCGAGAGGAACACCUGCGGCGAAGGCGGGUUGCUGGGCUGACACGUGACGCUGAGGCGCGAAAGCCAGGGGAGCGAACGGG